rnacentral:rRNA from 1 species
CCUACGGGGGGCAGCAGUGGGGAAUAUUGGACAAUGGGCGCAAGCCUGAUCCAGCAAUGCCGCGUGAGUGAGGAAGGCCUUAGGGUUGUAAAGCUCUUUCACCCGCGAGGCGGUAGCGGGAGAAGAAGCCCCGGCUAACUUCGUGCCAGCAGCCGCGGUAAUACGAAGGGGGCGAGCGUUGUUCGGAUUUACUGGGCGUAAAGGGCGCGCAGGCGGCCAUAUUUGUCAGGCGUGAAAGCCCCGGGCUUAACCUGGGAACUGCGUUUGAAACGGUAUGGCUAGAGUUCGGGAGAGGAGCGUGGAAUUCCCAGUGUAGAGGUGAAAUUCGUAGAUAUUGGGAAGAACACCGGUGGCGAAGGCGGCGCUCUGGACGAACUGACGCUGAGGCGCGAAAGCGUGGGGAGCAAACAGGAUUAGAUACCCUUGUAGUC